rnacentral:miRNA from 1 species
GCAGGAGUUUGAUUUCACAU